CUGCCCAGCCAGAAACGGUCUGGGUAUGUUUUGGAGUUGUUUGAGCCAUUGAGUUAAGAUUCUGAGAUAGAAGAAGAGAGGAGUAAAACUUGAAGUGACUUGACUCUUAGCCUGCCAUAGAAUUUAUAGUGGUUAGUUGGGACAGGUUGUUGUGUAUACGUUGUUAAAUUUUAGCGAAAGCAGCCACGAAGAUCCCACGAAAG
rnacentral:misc_RNA from 1 species